UACGGGGGGGGUAAGCGUUGUUCGGAAUUAUUGGGCGUAAAGGGCUCGUGGGCGGCCAACUAAGUCAGACGUGAAAUCCCUCAGCUUAACUGGGGAACUGCGUCUGAUACUGGAUGGCUUGGAUUCGGGAGAGGAAUGCGGAAUUCCAGGUGUAGCGGUGAAAUGCGUAGAUAUCUGGAGGAACACCGGUGGCGAAGGCGGCAUUCUGGACCGAUAUUGACGCUGAGAAGCGAAAGCCAGGGGAGCAAACGGG
rnacentral:rRNA from 1 species